GAUGAACGCUGGCGGCGUGCUUAAUACAUGCAAGUCGAGCGAAGCACUUUAACGGAAUUCUCCGGAAGGAAGGUAAAGUGACUGAGCGGCGGACGGGUGAGUAACGCGUGGGUAACCUGCCUUAUACAGGGGGAUAACAGUUAGAAAUGACUGCUAAUACCGCAUAAGCGCACGUCAUCGCAUGAUGGUGUGUGAAAAACUCCGGUGGUAUGAGAUGGACCCGCGUCUGAUUAGGUAGUUGGUGGGGUAACGGCCCACCAAGCCGACGAUCAGUAGCCGACCUGAGAGGGUGACCGGCCACAUUGGGACUGAGACACGGCCCAA
rnacentral:rRNA from 1 species